AUGGAUAUUAGGCCAUUCUUUCAUCCACUGGGCACAUAGAAGAGCUGUGGAGAGGUCAUAUGGCGAGAAUGUGAGUUUUGAUAAUGAGACCGCUUUAAUUUAUUCGGUUGGUGUAAAUGGUUUAUUAAGGGAUGAUGUUUUAAAAGUUUUACAAAGCUGUUUUGGCCAAAUUCCUUGGCCACAUGUUAUUAUUUUUCAUUAUGGUGGGAAUGAUGUGGGCAGAGUCAAGUCAGUGGUUUUGUUUCAUCAACUUAAGGAGGAUGUUUUUCACUCUAAGUAAAUGUUCACGGACUGGCUAAUUAUUUGGUCUGAAAUAGUCCCAAGGUUAAUUUGGUUGCACAAUACUAAGCUUAAAUUGCUAGAGAGAGUUCGGCGCAAGCUCAACAAAGCCAUGGAGAAAUUUAUGCAAUCAGUUGGUGGUUUUUCUUUUCGCCAUGUCAACAAUGAGGGGCAGUGCAAAGGUUUGUUUAUAAGGGAUGGUAUUCAUUUAUCUGAUGCCGGUUUGGAUAUUUGUAAUAAUGAUUUACAGUGCAUGAUUGAUAAGGCCGUGGUCUGGUGGGGUGGGCUGCAGCAUUAGUUGCAUGCUGCAGCUUGUGGGGUUGAGGUCACCUGCCUAAUUUAAAGGGGGGUGGACUAGCUGAGUUUCAUUAUCAUUAUGUUUAAGUUCUGGCUAAUAGGGCAGAACUCUGGUGAGUUUUGUGUUAAGUGUUAAAGACCAG